rnacentral:tRNA from 1 species
CGGAGUAAGCGGGCCUUGAUCCCACAAAAAUUAGUUAACAGCUAACUACCCUAGCCAG